GGUAAAGCACGUUUUCUUUAAACGCGGAGAGAAGUCCUUCUGAAAUGCGGACACCGAUUCGUUUUUUAAGCACACGUGAAUUCAGAACCUUCGGGACACGUUUUCCUUCUGAGAAAAAAAAAAACAGUGCACCGCUCCGGACUGGGACAGGGUCUCUCUGAGGCUGUUUUUCUCCCCGCUUUCUCCAGAUUUUUCUGUAAUUAUAAAGAAUUGAAUGACACUGCAAUCACACUGGUAACUAGAACAUCUGAAGAUAGAUGGCACAAAAUUUACCGCAACACUUCUAGAGAAGAUGGCUCAUUAGGAUUUCAAGGAAGGGUGCAGAUCUCAAGAUGGCAGCCCAGCGAAUUCGUGCAGCCAAUGCCAGUGGCCUCCCACGGUGCAAGUCCGAGGGAACUCUGAUUGAUCUGAGUGAAGAGUUUUCAGAAACCAGCUUCAAUUCUGUCAAAGUGCCUUCUCCCAGUGCCUUGAUGGUAGACAAUCCUGCAUCAUUUGGAAAUGCAAAGGAAGUUGUAGCAAUAAAAGACUAUUGUCCAAACAACUUCACUACCUUGAAGUUCUCCAAGGGUGACCACCUUUAUGUCUUAGAUACCUCAGGAGGUGAGUGGUGGUAUGCUCACAAUACCACAGAGAUGGGCUACAUCCCAUCCUCCUACGUCCAGCCUGUCAACUACCGGAACUCUUCAUUGACAGACAGUGGAAUGAUAGACAAUCUUCUUGAAUGCUCUGAUGAAGGAGCCAAAGAGCUUGACCUUCUUGGAGACUGGACAGAUGUGAAGUGGAGUUUAGCCAAAAAUAAUCCUUUCCUGAAUAAAACACAGACCAACCCUUUUCUGAAUGGGAACGUACAGAUAAUGCCUGACAGAGAUUGUUCUCUCUCUACUACAGUGGAUUUGUUGCUCUUCGACACAGGGAUACCUACAUUUACAGGGUCAAGUUCUGCUACAAAUAGUAGUGUAGGUAACCAACUUGAUGAAGUUCCAUCAAUGAAUGGGUUUGAGUUUGAACAGCCAAGCCGACGGGACAAUCCUUUUUUCAGAAGCAAGCGCUCCUACAGUUUAUCAGAGCUCUCUGUCCUUCAGGCAAAGUCAGAAAAUCCAGCAUCAUCUGGCUUCUUCUCUGGCUUAAAGUCUCCUACCCCAGAGCAGUUCCAGAGCAGGGAAGAUUUCAGAACUGCAUGGCUGAACCAUCGAAAACUAGCUAGAUCUUGCCAUGAUCUAGAUCUGCUGGGCCAGAACCCUGGUUGGGGUCAGACACAACCUGUGGAGACUAACAUAGUUUGCAAGCUGGAUAGUUCUGGGGGAGCAGUUCAGCUGCCAGAUACAAAUAUUAAUAUCCGUGUUCCAGAAGGACAUGUAGCUCUAGGUGAAACACAGCAGAUCUCUAUGAAAGCACUGUUGGAUCCACCUCUGGAGCUCAACAGCGACAGAUGCAGCACCAUAAGCCCAGUGCUGGAGAUUAAGCUGAGCAACAUGGAAGUGAGAACUUCCAUCAUACUGGAGAUGAAGAUUUCAGCUGAAGUUAAGAAUGACAUUGUGAGUAAGAGUUUAGUAGGAAUACAGUGCCUGCGGAGUGAUAUAAAGGAAGGCCCAUAUGCACUAGUGCCCCUUAGACACUGCUGUGGAGACACGAUUCAGGUUGAAUUGGAGAACCUGGAGCCUUGCAUGUAUAUCGCAGCUGUAGCCCAAGGUCAGAACAUUCUCUAUCCUUACACCGUCUGGGAUCACAUUGGUAAAAAAAUCACAGUUGGUGUGUAUGGUCCAAAGCACAUACAUCCUUCAUUUAAAACAGUGGUGGCCGUCUUUGGGCAUGACUGCGCCCCAAAGACCCUGCUAGUCAAUGAAGUCACACGCCAAGUGCACUGCACAGCACCCGCAGCACUGCAGUUGUGGGGAAAGCACCAAUUUGCCUUACUGAGGCCGCAGGACCUAAAGAUUUGUAUGUUUUCAAACAUGACCAAUUAUGAGGUGAGAGCCAGUGAGCAGGCAAAAAUAGUGAGAGGCUUCCAAAUGAAGCUGGGCAAGGUCAGCCGCCUCAUUUUCCCCAUCAUAUCGCACGACCCCAAUGAGCUGUCAGACUUCACACUGAGGAUACAGGUCAAGGAUGAAAAGGAUGCCAUACUGACUCAGUUCUGUGUCCAAACACCACAGCCGCCUCCCAAAAGUGCCAUCAAGACCACUGGGCAGCGAAGAUUCCUAAAGAAAAAUGAGGUCGGGAAGAUCAUCUUGUCCCCUCUUGUAACCACCAGCAAAUAUCCAGUCUUCCAGGAUCGGCCUGUGGGGAAUUUAAAGUAUGGCAAGCUGCUGAAAACGGUAGUGCGGCAAAACAAGAACCACUAUCUCCUGGAGUACAAGAAGGGUGAUGCCAUUGCUUUGCUAAGUGAGGAGAAGAUCAAGUUGAAAGGUCAGCUUUGGACAAAGGAGUGGUACAUUGGUUACUAUCAGGGUAAAAUUGGUCUUGUCCACACCAAAAAUGUUUUAGUUGUUGGGAAAAUCAAACCAAACUAUUUCUCGGGACCUGAGCUGACUACUAGUCUGUUGCUGGAGCAGAUUCUGAGACCUUGCAAAUUUCUCACCUAUAUCUAUGCUUCAGUAAGGACUUUGCUGAUGGAAAACAUUAGCAGCUGGCGUGCAUUUGCAGAUGCUCUGGGAUAUGGCAACCUGCCCCUUGCUUUUUUCUGCCGAGCAGAGCUGGACAGUGAGCCAGAAUGUGUGGCUUCUGUGUUGGAGAAACUGAAGGAAGACUGUAAUAAUUCUGAUAAUAAGGAUAGGAAGUCCUUCCAGAAAGAACUGAUGUCAGCCUUACUAAAAAUGGACUGCCAGGGUUUGGUGGUGAGGCUAAUUCAAGAUUUUGUGCUUCUGACUACGGCUGUAGAAGUGGCCCAGCGCUGGAGGGAACUUGCUGAAAAAUUGGCCAAGGUCUCCAAACAACAGAUGGAUGCCUACGAAGCUCCCCAUCGGGACAAGAAUGGCAUUGUAGAUGGUGAGGCAAUGUGGAAACCAGCAUAUGACUUUAUGUUAACGUGGAGCAAUCAGAUGGGAGACAGUUACCGUGAUGUUACCCAAGAACUUCACCUUGGUCUUGAUAAGAUGAAGAAUCCUAUCACAAAACGCUGGAAGCAUCUUACAGGAACCCUGAUUUUAGUAAACACAUUGGACAUACUACGGGCAGCUGCAUUUAGUCCACAAGAAGAACAUGACGAUUAUGCCAUCUGAUGGGAAGGGAUGACUCCAGCAGAAAUAGUUGCAGUCUGUUUUUAUGAUUUUAGCUGAUGCUGUCAGAGAGAGAGGGAGAGAGAACAGUUCUGAAAAGCCAGAGUCCUGGGCAGGGAUUCCUGGUCUUAGAGUGCAAAUAUUUCAUGCUUGUUCCUCCUCUUUUCAGAAGGUACCCAAGACAAUACUCUUUUGUAUGCUCUGUGGUUAACAGCUUUUCUUAAUAUGUAACAUUCAGAAUUGAACUUUUUAAAGGCAUUUGCUAAUACUGGACUUGAAAGUUUAGAUCACUUUGUGGAAGACUUAUUUUGUUGUAACAUAAAAAAAACAUUUUGUCCCUUUUUAAAUUAAUCACUUUGAAUUGUUGAUAAUGUGUAUUAAAAUGCAGCACAGUUCUAAUGUGUGACUCUGUUCGUAGAAUGGCAUGCCAGCCCCACUGCCUCCUAAGAUUCUAUCAGGGCUCCCCAUUACAGUAUUUGCUUUCAUGUACACAGUUUUGUAAAGAAGAAGAUGCACACUUUCCCCAACUUAGUUUACUUUUGUAAUCCAAAACUUAGCACAAUAUGUAGUGUGUGUGGAGACAGUGUGCUUGACUUCUGUCUGCUUUAGAUCCAUGGUAAGAAAAUGGAUGCCAUAUGUAGUCAAGGCUAACAUUUCACUUCACUUAAUGUUUCAUCCUAUCUUAAUAUCUUCUAGCCAUCUUUAGUGGCAGGUGCCUCCCUUCAAAAGUCUGCACUAUAUGAAUGUGUUUAAAAAUAUGAAGGUGGUUGUUUCUUCUAUGGUUCUCACUUAUGCCAUCAUUAAGGUGAUGUAUUAGACCUGGUUUUCACUGAGGUAGCAAGUCUGCAUUUGAGCUUGUAAAUCACUGAUGGGCUGAAAUCCAGUAGUAAGUUGCCACUAGAGGAGGCCCACUGAAUCCAUGGGGAUCUGGUCAGUUUACGCCUAUGUAAGUUGCAUUGAUUCAGUGUGCCUACUCUAGUUGCAACUAACCGCUAUAUUUCAGUGAUGGAAUAUCAUAUGAUGAAUGCUCAUCCUUCCAUUUGAGAAUGCAUGCUCUGCACUUAGAAAACUAGCUAGUCAGGAAGAAAGCCAGACUAGAACCCACCUAACUGAUAUCUACAGGGAUUUUAGUUUGGGGUGGGGGAACUACAGAGAAGCAUUCCAUCAUGUGAGACCAUACAUAGCGUGUGAAUGCUUUGCAUCCCAGAACACAGGGUUACAUUUUCAGUGAGGGCUAGGUCCACCUCUCAGAUCUGGAGCCUAGUUUGCUAAAUUCGAACUCUAUGGUUUGUCAGUAUUUCAUUGUAAUCUUGCUCUGAGGGUAUACAAUUUUUUUAGGUCAUUGAGUUUCACCAUAUAUGUUGUGUGACAAGUAAUGCUGUCACUAGAAUCAGAAACUAAAGUGGCAACACCUUUGCAGCUGCAUGUUGAAGAUAAAGCCAUUAAAAAUAACUCUAGUUGUAUUACUUUUGAAUGAAAGUUUUAUCAAACCUUUUCAGUCUACCUCUUAAAUCAAAAAUAUUUCAUUUGGGUAAAGUUUCCUUCUAGAGGAAAGGGGAGUGUCGGCUUUUUGCACAAUACAAUUUUUCAUAUUAAAACACAUUUAUUAAAUCUUGCAAAUAAGAUGCUUUUCAAAUAUUGUAUACUAAUGAUUAUCCUUUUCACUCAAAGUUUACAGAUAAGCUGAAAAUGUUUUCACAAUGUGGCCACUAAAAUUAACCUUUAAAACCUGUUGUCUCAUAUUAAAAAACAAAAAAACUAGCAUGUUCCAAGAACAAGCUGACCUUUCCAGAAUGUGUGUUAUGCAACACAACUCCUGUUCCAGAGUUUCAUGAAAGCAGAAUCUAGUUUAUUGGAAAGGCUUUCCUUUUGUUUGUCUGCAAGGUAUAUUAAAGGGGAAAUGGCUGUUAUUUAUUUGCUUUUCAAAGCAACUCCCUUUAAACAAUCCGUCACCCCACCUUGUCAGCUCUGUCCAGUUAAAGGCACCUUAAAAUUUGAAUUUUGCUGCAAGAGAUUAGACCAGAUUCCUAUGCACGUUUUCUCAGCACAAGCUUAAAGUUAAUUGGGUUAGCAAAAUAAUUAUCCGUUAUUUUUCUCUCUCCCACAAAGCUGAAAUCUUGCAUAAGAUAUUUGAAAGCAGGGAAGAGACGCUCUUGUAUUUUGUAUCCCAGAUAAGAAACGCAAGCAGGCUCAGAAGGGUUCAUUUUUCACUAUAAUGUGAAAUAGAAUAUAGGUGGUGAAAUGGUCAGUCUCUCUGUGUACAUGGAAGGGCAUGCCCAUGUGUAUAGAUAUUCUCACUGUUGUGGGCAAACACUGAGCUGAUGAUACAGCAACAUCAGGAGCUCUGUACAAGGGAGCCUUCUUCUACACCAGGAUGUUUGCCGUCAGUCCUCCACCUCUGAGCUUGUUUACAGAGAUUAUCAACUGUCUAGAGUUCCAGAACUAGUUGUCAGUGCUCUGUAUUGUAAGGACCCAAAGUGGAGCCAGAGCAGUGAGAUUUUAAUUUAUGAGCAACAUAUUAGAGUUGGAUAUUGGAGAAUUUUUAAUCUCCUGAUACCAGAUUAGAUAUUCCAUAAUUGAUUUCAGGAGAGUGGAUUGGUUGGCCUGCUGCUUUGCCAUUGUUGUCAAACUACCUCAAGUGUCACAUGCCUUUUCUUUUCUUUUGAUUUAAAACACACAGACGUCCUUGGAUGAUUCCUACAUUAUCACUGUAGAGAAUGGUUGAACCACAAUAACAGAUUUCCCGUAUUUAGUCAAUUGCAGAAUGAUCUCCCCCCCCCUUUCCCACUUCUGACUAAAAUAUCAACUCCCAGCACACAGUUGGAGUAGUUUGUAUGUUCAGCCAAAUACCUUUCACUCAAAGUAGGACCUUACAAGGUAAGCUUGCUUUGGAUUUUACAUUAAUACACUGUACAAGUAGUUUGUUGUAAAUUUUUUAAAUAAAAAGACUUGUCAAAACUAUACAAUUAAAGCAGGUAUUUGAUCACA